rnacentral:rRNA from 1 species
CCUACGGGGGGCAGCAGUGGGGAAUAUUGCGCAAUGGGGGCAACCCUGACGCAGCAACGCCGCGUGCAGGAAGAAGGUCUUCGGAUUGUAAACUGUUGUCGCAAGGGAAGAAGACAGUGACGGUACCUUGUGAGAAAGUCACGGCUAACUACGUGCCAGCAGCCGCGGUAAUACGUAGGUGACAAGCGUUGUCCGGAUUUACUGGGUGUAAAGGGCGCGUAGGCGGACUGUCAAGUCAGUCGUGAAAUACCGAAGCUUAACUUCGGGGCUGCGAUUGAAACUGACAGCCUUGAGUAUCGGAGAGG